AAGCAGUAAUAUUUGAUUUAUUGAUAGUACUCUGAAAUUCCUGAGGUUAGAAGUAGUUUGUUUAAUACUGACAGGAAAUGGAUGCAGGAACAAUUAGCGAUGGUAAGCAAUAAAGUGCUUUUCCUAUAUAUCUUCUCUUUUGAAGCUAAAUAUAACUGUCAUAAAAUUAGAGCAGGACCAGUUUUCAUCUUUCUAGAGAAGUUGAGAAAUUAGGUGGUUUGACUAGCAUUAUAUGUACAAACUAAUAGAUAAGUUGAUCCAAGACUUCAGGCCCAAUCUUCUUGCUAUAAAUCCUAUGGCUAUGCUCUCUGCAGCAUACCCUACUAGUUUUGAGUAGUAAAUUUAUUUAAAACUUAUCCUGUGCUUUUAAAUUUUUUAAUUUAGAAAGUAUUUUUGAGAAAAUAACCAAAUAAAGUUUCUGAAUUUUGAUUAAAAAUUCCUAUUACCUACAGGCAGUUCUGGUACAUUUUUCUAUUUACUUCAGAAAGCUUUACAUUUUAUGAGGUUACUAAAGGACUCAGGGUUGGAGUGGAGCACCUAUUAUAUGGAUUAAUCUCAGUUCAUUUUUUAGAUUUUUUGCAUUAAUAAUUGUAUUUCAUAGUAGUUAUGGCACAAGUGCCUUUUUAUUUGCCUUAUAAUAGGUGUAGAUAUUUGAGAGAUGAAUAUAAAUUGACUAAAUAGAAUUGGCAAACAUGUUCAUAUUAGCCUUUUUCAAAUCUAGAGAAUCCCAAGCUGUGGAUUCUUCUAUAAAGUAAGUUUAAAACUAAAUAGAUUAAAGGACCUUGAGUUACGUUGUAAUCUCAGAAGGGACCAGAGCAGGAAGUGCUCCAAAAAAUUGUGACAAUUGUGUGUUCUACAACCAGUGAUGGCAUAUAGUCACAUUCCCAGCAUAUGGUACUUGGUAAGUCCUGAGCUGGGAGAUAGGACCAGGGUUUAAGCUCUGGCCGUAUCUCUGAUUAUCUGCUUUUUUUCUAGACAAGUCUUAUUUCCCCAAUUGAAAAAUGAGAAUAUUCAUGGUUACAGUGUCCAAAAGAGUUGUUGUAAGACUUCAUAGAAGUUUGCAGCAGCAUGCCUAUUGAGCAAGCAGAGUGGUGGAAGAAGAACCUUGCCUAUUGGGAGCAGAAGGCAUGUGCAAAGGUUCUGCUCUGGAGCAUCACUGUGAAUUCUGGAAACUGUUUCUACAGUCUGUGGAACAUGGAAUCAAACCAGAAUAUGUUGGCAUAACAGGCCGGUCAAACCGGUUCUUCUGUAGAUCCAGAACCCGUCCAACCAGUCUGCAUCAAAGGCUCACCCAACAAGCUGCAGCGGCUCAGCUCUGCUAAGCCUGUACCGGAUUGAGAGGAGAGACCAGAAUGUAAGAUGCAAACUCAAGAAAUCUACCCAGAAUUGUGGCAAAGAAAAAACAGACUCAAGUCAUUCAGUUGGUACCAAAGCCAGAUUUCCUCCAAGCAUCUGUACCUUAGGGGAAGAAAGAACAGAGAAAUUUAGGAACUCAAGAGAUCUGGGUAGGAGCUCAAAUCAGCAGCCUGAUCUUCACAAGGGCAAUCUAAAGGGGGCAGGGCAGGGUAGGAGAGGGGAAGAGAACAGUGCUACCAAUGCCUUAGCCCAGUGUCUCUAAACUAUUUUGACUGUUGACAUUUGUUUAUUUAUAAAAUAUAUACAUGUAUCUCUAUUUCUAGGAACAUCUCAA